AGCGAGCGGCACUUCUGCCGUCCUGCGUGGCGGGGGAGCGUGAUGCAGAGACAGACGGAGAGUAAUAGAUAUGGAAACCAGAGGUGGAGGAAUGCAGAUACCACUGAGCGACUCUGCUUGUGUUCCCUGCAUGAUAAAUAGUUGGUUAGAGACCAGAUGGAAGGAGAGAGGGGAGACGAUAAAAGCACUCAUCAUUUGUUUGAACGGCGAAAAAACGGGUUGUCUUCGGAAAGAUGGCGGCAUCUCGACCAUUUCUGUGUCUCAGUUCAGGGUCUGCGUCCUUCAGAGGAGCAUCUGAAGGGUUGCGGUGGAGCUGAAGAGGCAGAGUACGCCUGAGUGUGUUGCCAGUUAAUCACGGGGCGAGCACAGAUGCUCCGCUUCUGCUCGCAUUCACACGUUUGAGAUACUUAAGAGUCGACCGUGAACCUGACCUGCAGAGGAGGAACCCAGGGGAUCUUUUCUUAACGCUGAGCAAUUAAGCGAUGGAGCAGUUUUCUAACGAGUGGGUGCCUGUUUUGUUUCGUCAUGCGUGCAGGUGACAAACACAAACCUGCCGACGGUGUUCGCGCCAUUCCACUGAUCCACAGGUGGUGAUGUAUCAUCGGGGAAAAAAGACGGCAAGCUAAUAAAGAUGUGUGUUCACAAUACAGGUUACACGAUCAUCGUUAAAAUGUGUUUU